rnacentral:tRNA from 1 species
AAUGGGAUACCUAAUAAAAGGACUAUUUUGAUAGAAUAGAAUAUGUGGCUUUACCACUCCCAUUU